rnacentral:rRNA from 1 species
UACGUAGGUGGCAAGCGUUGUCCGGAAUUAUUGGGCGUAAAGCGCGCGCAGGCGGUCCUUUAAGUCUGAUGUGAAAGCCCACGGCUCAACCGUGGAGGGUCAUUGGAAACUGGGGGACUUGAGUGCAGAAGAGGAGAGCGGAAUUCCACGUGUAGCGGUGAAAUGCGUAGAGAUGUGGAGGAACACCAGUGGCGAAGGCGGCUCGCUGGUCUGUAACUGACGCUGAGGCGCGAAAGCGUGGGGAGCAAACAGG